rnacentral:tRNA from 1 species
GUCAUUGUAGUUUAAUUGAAAAACGCAUCUUGCAAUGUAAGAUGAGUUCUGGGUUCAAGCCCCAGCAGUGGCC